GUGGCGCUCUCUCGUCGCAUGACCGCGUCCGCCCUCCUCCUGCUCUUCCUCCUCGUCGCCACAGAGAUGGGGGCGACGAUGACCAAGGUGGCGGAGGCGCGGGACUGCCUGUCGCAGAGCCACAACUUCAAGGGCGCGUGCCUCAGCAGCAGCAACUGCGCCGCCGUCUGCCACACGGAGAACUUCCCAGACGGCGAGUGCCACACGCCGCACUUCGCGCGCAAGUGCUUCUGCAAGAGGCCCUGCUAG
rnacentral:rRNA from 1 species